rnacentral:lncRNA from 1 species
AAUUCUGGAUUGAUAUAUGGAAGACGUGAGGAAGCAAGAAACAGACUGCAAAAUGUUCUAGAGGUUGCCUGCAUUCCUUGACUCCUGAAUCUCUAUCAUCUUCAGAGCCAGAUAUUUCCUGCUGAGUCUUUCUGAGGCUGCAUCACCCUGACCCUGACUCUUCCAUCUCCAUCCUUCAUGCUUAAAGGAUCCUGGUGAUUACAUUGGACCCUCCCGUACAA